AGGACCCUGGGUUAUUUCCUGCAGUUUAUCAUAACUAACUACCUUUUGGGUUGCAUUUUUCAUGCCCGCUAGGAGGCACUGCAGCAUCUGGUCUCAGCGGUGGCGGCCAUUUUGGCCAGUUUGAUAGUCCCAGUUAGGAUCAGUCUCAGGGACUGCCACUGCACCCACUGGCAUCUGAGGAUCAGUGAGAUGUACCUGAUCAGUGUGUGCCCUGGCUGCCACAAGGAUGCAGUUACGCUCAUCAGAAGUGAGGGUAGAGGACAGGAUUACAUAAGUGUCAUGCCAGGUAAGGUCAUAUGCCUGAGUGAGAUAACGAAAUUCCUUGAUGUAAGCAGUAGGAUUGGCGGAGAAUGACCCUAAGCGUUUUUCGAUGGUGGACAGAUCAGUAAGGGAGAAAGGAACGUGCACUCAGACCACACCCUCUGCUCCGGCCACCUCGCAGAGAGGACAAAGGAGGGAGUUUUCAUCGCUGGGAGUGCUGCAUGAGCGAGUGUGAGCACUAAUAGGAGAGGCCAUGUCAGAACUUGGAGGAGGAGGAGCAGGAGGGGGUUGGGGACAACUUGGAACAGGAGGAGUAGACAAGGGAGCAACAAACAAACACCUAUUAUUAUUAUAACACUUAUGAUGAGGGUUUUGAAUCCUCCCAAGGAUGAGAACCAACCUCCAAAUAAGGACUCAGGGUUAAAUCCGUGCCACACCUG